AUCGAAGAUAAAUAGCCACGAUUUUUGGAGCGAACUUUCUUUCUGUCCGCAGCUACUGAUGGUGAAAGUGCGCGUCGUGUUAGUUAAAAUUAAAACAAAAACGUAUACAGUACAGAUUAAAAAAGUUGUUCCCUAAAAGUUAUUAGUACGGCUUGUAAAUAAUAGGCCUUGAGAAAAAGAAAUCCACUAAGAGGUU